CCUACGGGUGGCAGCAGUCGAGAAUCAUUCACAAUGGGGGAAACCCUGAUGGGGCGACGCCGCGUGGGGGAAUGAAGGUCUUCGGAUUGUAAACCCCUGUCAUGUGGGAGCAAAUUAAAAAGAUAGUACCACAAGAGGAAGAGACGGCUAACUCUGUGCCAGCAGCCGCGGUAAUACAGAGGUCUCAAGCGUUGUUCGGAAUCACUGGGCGUAAGGCGUGCGUAGGCUGUUUCGUAAGUCGUGUGUGAAAGGCGCGGGCUCAACCCGCGGACGGCACAUGAUACUGCGAGACUAGAGUAAUGGAGGGGGAACCGGAAUUCUCGGUGUAGCAGUGAAAUGCGUAGAUAUCGAGAGGAACACUCGUGGCGAAGGCGGGUUCCUGGACAUUAACUGACGCUGAGGCACGAAGGCCAGGGGAGCGAAAGGGAUUAGAUACCCGUGUAGUC
rnacentral:rRNA from 1 species